CUGAGCCAAAGUCGAGAGUCGGACAUUUGACUGAUGGAGCCACCCAGGUGCCCCCAACAAUCCAUAUUUAUUAUCUCACAUUUUUUGUGAGUUAGGAAUCUAGUCAUGGCUUAGCUGGGUUCUCUGCGGUAGGGCGUCUCAUGAGCGUCUCAUGAGGCUGCAAUCAAGGUGGUAGCUCUGAUCAGCGUCUCAUCUGAAAGCUUGACUGGGGAAGGAUCCACUUCCAAGGACACAUGGUUGUUGCCAGGCUUCAUUUCCUUGCUGGCUGUUGCCCAGAGGCUGCCCUCAGUUCCUUGCCAUGUGGGCUUCUCAUUAGGGCAGCUGACAACAGAGCAGCUGGCCUCAUCAAAGCUAGCCAGGAAGAGAGCCUGUGAGCAAGGCCCAAGUUAGGUUCUCAUGUCAUCUAAUCAUAGAAAUGACAUUACCCUCUACAUUAAGGUAUUCUAUUGGCUACAAGCCAGCUGCUCAAGGGGAGGGGAUCACAUAGGCCAUGAAUACCAAGAUAGAAGUUCUAGGAGCCCCAGUAUCUCAUGGGGAAAGAGUUUUAGGGUCAGCGCACUGAACUCCAACUAACCACCCUAUUCAUGUUUUGGAGCAGGCAUUCCAGAGAUCUUUGAGUAUGGUGCAUUUUAAUAUGAAAUUUAUAAAUUGGAAAAAUUAAGAUUUCCUCUCCUUCAUCCUCUCCCCCAACAACCUAGUAAAGAGUUUACUCCUGUGCCAUCUAUAAACGGGUUUUUUUUUUCCUUCCUUUCCAGAGGAUUGAACAAAUAGAACAGCUUUUCAUGAAAAUAGACUAUGAAUCAGUGGGCAGAACUGAAUGGGAUGGCUUCUGCACAUAUCUGCAGCUCGAGUAUUCAGAGCAAGCGGAUGCUUUGGCCCGACAGAAAGAGGUUUCCUUCCAUCUGCCUGCUGUGCUGCUGAAGUUGAAAAGAAGAAAGAGAGUUUCUGUAUGUGAUUUUCAUUUGAUAAGGAUGCUGAGUGCUCCAGUUUGAUUUUAUUUGCUAUUUUAAACUGCUCUUCAAGUGGCAUGAUUGCAGAAAUUGUGUCCUUGAAUGUAAUAUAUUCACGUUGUCUUUUGCUAGUCUAUAGAAUGCAAAUAAAAUAUGAUCUCUA